CCUACGGGAGGCAGCAGUGGGGAAUCUUGCGCAAUGGGCGAAAGCCUGACGCAGCAACGCCGCGUGCGGGAAGAAGGCUUUCGGGCUGUAAACCGCUUUCAGCAGGAACGAAAAUGACGGUACCUGCAGAAGAAGGAGCGGCCAACUAUGUGCCAGCAGCCGCGGUGAUACAUAGGCUUCAAGCGUUGUCCGGAUUUAUUGGGCGUAAAGAGUUCGUAGGCGGUCAAGUAAGUCGGGUGUGAAAAUUCUGGGCUCAACCCAGAGACGCCACCCGAUACUGCUUAACUUGAGUUCGAUAGGGGAGUGGGGAAUUCCUAGUGUAGCGGUGAAAUGCGCAGAUAUUAGGAGGAACACCGGUGGCGAAGGCGCCACUCUGGAUCGAUACUGACGCUGAGGAACGAAAGCAUGGGUAGCAAACAGGAUUAGAUACCCUGGUAGUCCAUGCCGUAAACGGUGGGCACUAGGUGUGGGUUUCUAUUAACGAAAUCCGCGCCGUCGCUAACGCAUUAAGUGCCCCGCCUGGGGGAGGUACGGUCGCAAGAACUAAACUAACAAAGAAGUAGACGGCGNGAGACGUGCCGAACGGACGACGACGAGGGAGGAGG
rnacentral:rRNA from 1 species